UGUCCCUGGAGCAGUGGGAGCUGCCGCUGGCCCCAGGCACUGUCCUGUGAGGAGCUGCUGAAGGACGCUGAGACUGAGGGGGCUGAGGAGGCGCUGAUGCUGAAGGGACCUUGCAAACCUUGAGCUGUCCUGAAGAGCUUGAGGACAGGCAGACACUGAGAGGAGCCAGCAGGGAGAAGCUGAAGGCCUGGAGCAAGAGCAGUGAGCAGGGAUGUGCUGGGGCCACGCGAGAGCCUGGAUGUCCCAUCUGCUGUCCCUGUCCAGGAGAGCUGCUCUGCGUGGGAGGAAAAGACUGAGGGAGAGGCUUUGAAGAUGGGGCGGCUGGGAUCCGUCUGAUGAUUGCUUUGCUUAGAGAUGGAUGGCCUUGCACAUAGACAGGGAUAAUGACGUGAAUAUUUACAUGUGUGUGUGUUGCUAAUUUGUAUAGGAAUGUUUCUGUACCUCUGUCGUUAUAUCUAAGGAUGUAUUGUAUGUAUAUAUAUGUCCAUAUAUGUUUGUAAUUCUAUAUAUGGUCAUAUAUGUAGCUAAGUAUACAAGUUUGGUGUUAGAACUCUCUUUAGUUCUAUUUCCUGUGUACAGAGUUGUAUAGGUACCUAUUUCUAUUGAUGUGGUUGUAGGUCUAUGGCUGUUUAAAUAGGUUGAUUGGUAUUUCUAUAGGAAGAUACAUCUAUUUUUACAUGUACAUUUAUCUAUUUCUAAAUAGAUCUCUUUUUACAUGUGUAUCCAGAUUUAUAGAUGUAUAUUUGUACUGAUGCAGUUGUAUGGAUAUUUAGAUUGGGACAGUGACAUUUGUAUCUUUUCAAAUAGUUUUGUUUUAUAUAUCUAUAUGUAUAUAUAUUGUAUGAAAUAUGUAAUAUUUAAUCUGUAUUUCCAUCUGUAGAUUGUUAUAUAUGUAUAUAUAGAGGUAUUUAGUUCUAUUUAAACAUGUAUGAAGUGGUAUAGUUGUAUAAUUCUAUCUAUCGAAUUCUUAGUACAGGGUUAUUUAGAGGGAGACUGAUAUUUUUGUAUUUCUAUAUGGGCUGUAAGCUUGUAGUAAUCUGUAAUAAAUUAAGUUGUUAAACACCUCAUUGAUCGUUGUCUAUAGUGACUUGUAGAGGUUAGCAAUAAGUGAAGUUUUUGCUAACUGAAGUUGGUAUUUGUAUAUUUUUACGUGGCAUUGUUGUGCUAAUAUAAUAAAUGACUUUUUUUCAACUUAAUGGAGAUUUUGAUAGUUGUGUAUUGUCAGCGCAGGUGUAGCAAUUUGUAAUAAAUGACAUUUUUCAACUGAAA